rnacentral:rRNA from 1 species
GGAAGUAAAAGUCGUAACAAGGUCUCCGUAGGUGAACCUGCGGAGGGAUCAUUACUGAGUGAGGGCCUUCGGGCUCGACCUCCAACCCUUUGUGAACACAACUUGUUGCUUCGGGGGCGACCCUGCCGUUUCGACGGCGAGCGCCCCCGGAGGCCUUCAAACACUGCAUCUUUGCGUCGGAGUUUAAGUAAAUUAAACAAAACUUUCAACAACGGAUCUCUUGGUUCUGGCAUCGAUGAAGAACGCAGCGAAAUGCGAUAAGUAAUGUGAAUUGCAGAAUUCAGUGAAUCAUCGAAUCUUUGAACGCACAUUGCGCCCCUUGGUAUUCCGAGGGGCAUGCCUGUUCGAGCGUCAUUUCACCACUCAAGCCUCGCUUGGUAUUGGGCGCCGCGGUGUUCCGCGCGCCUCAAAGUCUCCGGCUGAGCUGUCCGUCUCUAAGCGUUGUGAUUUCAUUAAUCGCUUCGGAGCGCGGGCGGUCGCGGCCGUUAAAUCUUUCAUAAGGUUGACCUCGGAUCAGGUAGGGAUACCCGCUGAACUUAAGCAUAUCAAUAAGCGGAGGAAA